UAACACCUGCCGCUCCAGAUUUUGCUCUGAAAAGACAAGUGAUGUUGAUAUAUUUUCUGUCUACAAGGGUCACAGGCCUGGCGAUUGUUUUCCCUCUCUAAUGCAGCCAGCAUAGUGCGCUCCUUUGGACCACAGUGCUUCCAGCUCUUUGUAUCACGCCGGUAAAUACAUCAGUGUUACUAAAUUAAAUCCAGCCCAGUAGGACCAAAGACAAAGGAUCAAGCAGCAAAAAGCAAUUUAAAGGAUACAGAUUAAGAAGCAAUUAAGGACAAAUGAAUUCUCGGCAUAAGAGAAGCAGAACGUGAAGACUUUUAGAAAGAAAUGCAGGGUAUUAGGUCCUUGGGGAAAGGGAAGGAAGUCCCAAACAUCAACCCAGAAACGGUGGAUAAAUUUCACUCCAUUGAAAUAAAUAACAAUGCUAUA